rnacentral:pre_miRNA from 1 species
GACAUACUCCCUCCGUCUGAAAAUACUUGUCAUCAAAAUGAAUAAAAAAGGAUGUAUCUAGAACUAAAAUACAUCUAGAUACAUCCCUUUUUAUUCAUUUUGAUGACAAGUAUUUUCGGACGGAGGGAGUAUCUC